rnacentral:tRNA from 1 species
GCCAUCUUAGUAUAGUGGUUAGUACACAUCGUUGUGGCCGAUGAAACCCUGGUUCGAUUCUAGGAGAUGGCAUUUUCUGGCA